rnacentral:rRNA from 1 species
GCAAUAUGGCCCCUAGAGUGGCGAACGGGUGAGUAACACGUAGGUGAUCUACCUCUGGAUGGGGGAUAGCCCGUGGAAACACGGGGUAAUACCGCAUGAGGCCUUGAGGGUAAAGCCUUGAGGUGAAAGGUGCAAUUGCAUCGUCUGGGGAUGAGCCUGCGGUCCAUUAGGUAGUUGGCGGGGUAAAAGCCCACCAAGCCGACGAUGGAUAGCCGGCCUGAGAGGGUGGACGGCCACACUGGAACUGAGACACGGUCCAGACUCCUACGGGAGGCAGCAGCUAAGAAUCUUCCGCAAUGGGGGAAACCCUGACGGAGCGACGCCGCGUGGAUGAUGAAGGCCGUAAGGUUGUAAAAUCCUUUUGUCGGUGAAGAAUAAGCCAGGGAGUGGAAAGCCCUGGUGAUGACGUUAACCGGCGAAUAAGCCCCGGCUAAUUACGUGCCAGCAGCCGCGGUAAUACGUAUGGGGCAAGCGUUGUUCGGAUUUAGUUGGGCGUAAAGGGCGUGUAGGCGGCUCAUCAAGUCUGGUGUAGAAAUCGCAGGGCUUAACCCUGCAUAUGCGCUGGAAACUGGUGGGCUAGAGUUCUUGAGGGAAGCUGGAAUUCCCGGUGUAGAGGUGAAAUUCGUAGAUAUUGGGAAGAACACCGGUGGCGAAGGCGAGCUUCUAUCAGAGGACUGACGCUGAGGCGCGAAAGCGUGGGGAGCAAACAGGAUUAGAUACCCUGGUAGUCCACGCUGUAAACGAUGUGCACUAGGCGUGGGGCCCGUACGGGUUCUGUGCCGUAGCUAACGUGUUAAGUGCACCGCCUGGGGAGUAUGCUCGCAAGGGUGAAACUCAA